GGCAGUGGUAGCUCAGUGGAUAAGAACAUUGGCCUUUUCACCAGAAGGUCAUGAGUUGAAAUCCCAGCACUGCCA